rnacentral:rRNA from 1 species
AGCGAACGCUGGCGGCGCGCCUUACACAUGCAAGUCGAACGUGAAAGGGCUUCGGCCUAAGUAAAGUGGCGCACGGGUGAGUAAUACGUAGAUAAUCUACCCUAGAGCCUGGGAUAACCUGCCGAAAGGCGGGCUAAUACCGGAUAGAGCGAGGGGUUCGUGAAGGACCUUUCGGGAAAGGGAGCUCGCAAGAGCCCUCACUUUAGGAUGAGUCUGCGCCCGAUUAGCUAGUUGGUGGGGUAAUGGCUCACCAAGGCGAUGAUCGGUAGCUGGUCUGAGAGGAUGAUCAGCCACACUGGAACUGAAACACGGUCCAGACUCCUACGGGAGGCAGCAGUGGGGAAUCUUGCGCAAUGGACGAAAGUCUGACGCAGCGACGCCGCGUGAGUGAAGAAGGCCCUGGUGUAAGCUCUGUUGAAGGGACGAACGAUAGCUUGAGGUUAAGUAAGU